rnacentral:rRNA from 1 species
UACAGAGGUCUCAAGCGUUGUUCGGAUUCAUUGGGCGUAAAGGGUGCGUAGGUGGCGGGGUAAGUCAGGUGUGAAAUUUCGGAGCUUAACUCCGAAACUGCAUUUGAUACUGCCUUGCUUGAGGACUGGAGAGGAGACUGGAAUUCACGGUGUAGCAGUGAAAUGCGUAGAGAUCGUGAGGAAGACCAGUGGCGAAGGCGGGUCUCUGGACAGUUCCUGACGCUGAGGCACGAAGGCCAGGGGAGCGAACAGG